CCGCCUCAACCGACAUCGGACUUCUACAAAAAUGGAGGUCGAAAAAUUCAAUGGUGACUGCGUGGCUGGUUAAUUCCAUGAAACUCCGAUUGGAAAGACUUACUUGUUUCUACUGACAGCAAAAGAUGUGUGGGAUGCCGUUCGCGACAUGUACUCAGACGCAGAAAAUUCUUCACAGAUUUUUGAGAUUAAAACAAAACUCUGGCAGACGAACCAAAGGGAGAGAGACGUGACAGACUACUACCUGGAGAUGUCUUCACUCUGGCAGGAACUCGAUCACAAUGUUGACGAAGAAUGGGACUGUCCGACCGACAAUGUAAAGUACAGAAAGAAGAUCGAAAACGAAAGGGUAUACAGGAAUUAGAUGAUGUGAGAGGAAGAAUCCUUGGCCGGCAACCCCUACCGUCACUUCGCGAAAUCUUCGCUGAGGUUCACAGAGAAGAAAAUCGGCGAGGUGUUAUGCUUGGAGAAGGGAAGACCGCCGGGCUUGAAGAGGAAACUGGGUUUGCGUUAUUUUCAAUGGAGCGUGGGUUUGGUGGGUCGACCCAAUUAACUAAAGGGCUUAAUUCAACAGAACGUGAGUCAGCAUUAAAUGGGUCGACCCAAUUAACUAAAGGGUUUAGUUAAGCCCACUACCUGGAGGGCCAGCAUUAAAUGGAGCUAAAGGACUUGGAUCUAUGGAAUUGGGCCUAAUUUCCAAAGGGACGCCCACUAAUGGGUUCGGCCCAAAACAACAGAGGGGACGUCCUUGGUGUGAUCACUGUCGUAAACCGGGACAUAAGGCAAAUACAUGUAGGGAACUACAUGGAAAACCAGCUGACUGGAAACCAAGACAAAAUAACAGGAAUCGAGGUUACCAAGCGGUUGUUGAUCCUAUCGAAGAAAAGAAUACCUCUACUCAGGGCGGUGCAUUCAAUCCUGAACAAAUGGAGCAACUAUAUAAAAUGUUUUCAAGUCUCCAAUCAUCGAGUCCUUCAAGUUCACUAGCUCACAAAGGUAAUUCUUCGAAAGCACUACAUACAAGUACUCAAACCACAGUUCCUUGGAUUAUUGACUCAGGUGCAUCCGAUCAUAUGACGGGCUCCUUCCACCUUUUUUCCAAAUAUUCCACUUCUGCUGGCAAUAUCAAAGUUAAAAUCGCAGACGGCUCACUCUCACCUGUAGCAGGAAAAGGGAGUAUUCGAAUCUCUAAUUUUAUAACAUUGGAAUCCGUUCUCCACGUUCCAAACCUAUCUUGUAACUUAUUGUCAGUUAGCCAAUUAACGAAAAACUCAAAUUGCUCAGCUAAAUUUCUCCAAUCUUAUUGUAUUUUUCAGGACCUAUCAUCGGGGAAGACGAUUGGCAGUGCUAAAGAAUGUGGGGGACUUUACUACUUUGAGGAAUCAGACGUGAGUAAGAAUAAUCAAAUUGCAAAUUGUGAUUCUGCUUUUGUUCCUAGAGAUAGUGAGCUUUUGUUAUGUCAUUUUAGAAUGGGUCAUCCCAAUUUUCAGUAUUUACGUCAUGCAUUUCCUUCCAUGUUUUCUAAUAAAAAGACAUUUGAUAUUCAAUGUGAACAUUGUGAACUAACAAAACAUCAUCGUACCUUCUUUCCAAAAUCUACAUACAAAUCUUCGAAACCAUUCACCUUAAUUCACAGUGAUUUAUGGGGUCCUUCACGAAUUUCAAAUCAAACGCACAAAAAAUGGUUCGUAACAUUUAUAGAUGAUCAUACUAGAAUAUGUUGGGUUUAUCUCCUAAAAGAAAAGUCAGACGUCAGAUCCAUAUUCAUAAAUUUCCAUUCAAUUAUUCAAACUCAAUUUCAGACACAAAUUCAAAUAUUGCGUACUAACAAUGGUACAGAAUAUUUCAAUACCAC
rnacentral:lncRNA from 1 species